CGAAUUUUGUUGCCAGCCGGACUGUCGGUAAAGUAGCUUAUUUUUCGUGUGUUCGUAAAUCUCGUAAGUCAAACGACGUGGAACUUAUCUCUUUUCUGCUUCGAGUUUUACAAAAGGAUAUAGAAAAUGAUUGAACGAGGAAUCAAUAGUAUCAAGUAUGACAUAUCAUAUUCCAAGAAAGACAUUAUUUGUCAGGAUGAACGAUUAUACGAUUCUCCGCGCCAUCUGUGGAGCUUACGGAGAAACAAAAUUGCUGAAGAUACGAGAAGGCGCGAAAAUAUUCAAAAAAGAAUAUUUGAAAUAACGUUCUGACAAAGUAUCUUAAACAUUUCUAUAACAUUCGCAUGGAUAUUCUCGAUAAAAGAUAUUUAUAUUAAAAAGUCAUUUGAGAUUUCACGAUAUUUAAUUUUGGUUAAUCAUGAAUGUCAUUCGAAUAAUAGAUCGAAAGUCGUAUGAGUUUAUAAGAAAAACAGUUUUACGAAGGUAAUUACGAAAGAACGAGACGAUAAAAGUGCGUAGAUCAUUCUUCGUCCUUGUAUGGUUUACAAGACUCGAUGAGUUUCAAACUUGCAAGAGUAUAUAUAUAUAUAUAUAUAUAUAUGGCGUCCAUUUACUUCCACAGCAAGUCCAUAUAUGGAUAACGGUUUUAAAACCACCCAAAGACAUUCCUUAUUUUACUUACUUUCGUAUACAUAUAUUUAUAUAUGUAUACAAUAUAUUCUGGUUGAUACGUGUUAAUAGGUCAAUUUUCCUUUAAUGAUUUUCACAUAGUAUAAAACAACAUAUAGUGUUACAGAUUUUUUUUUAUUAAAUCUGUGGUAAAAUGUAGAAAUAACAAAAUUCAAAGAAAAGAAAAGAAAAGAAAUGUUACAUGUAUAAAACUUCCUUUAAGAAUUAAUUGUUUGUAUUUUAAUUGUCUCAAAAGUAAAGAGACCAGGAUAUGGAUUAUUAAAAUAGAUAGG